UGAGCCAGCUACUUGGGCAGC
rnacentral:misc_RNA from 1 species